rnacentral:lncRNA from 1 species
CGGUGUACAUGUCUCAAAGCAUAAGCAUCUUUUAAAUUUCACUUUCGGUUUCUUAGAAGAAUAUGUUUUUAAGAAGUUGAAUCAAAUAAGAACGUUUUCUUUAUUAGUAAUGUGGCGAAUGAGAAUCAUCGACAAUCAUAUGUGCCCUCAUCAUGCCAACCUUUUUUUGCUGCAUGAGUUGUUUCUGUUGAAAACACCUCCUGUUAGGUAUAAUCCAAUGUCUUGGCUCUGUAGUUUUGAUUUUUUUUUUUUUUUUGUAACUAGUCUGUAGUUUUGAUGAUUUUCUCGGAUCGUGUUUCUAUUAUUGUAAGCAAAUCUUUGUUUCUAAAUUUAAUAUUUAGUCGAAAGGAAAAGAAAGAGCUCUCUUAUA